rnacentral:lncRNA from 1 species
AGCGGGGUCGCCCCCGAGGGUGGCCGGGCUCGAGGCCGGUUGUCCCCCAGUCACUUCCCUGCCAACUGGGCCAGUAACAGCUUGGAGACUUUCCAGUUUGUUUCGUGGGGACCGAGUUGAUACUUGGGGCUGAGGGAAAUUUGGGGGUUUGGGACUGUCAUUGGAACCCUCCCCUCCGCGGGAAUGGGCACCGGGCACACACAAAACACACGCCCCUGCGGCCUUUUCCCGCAAGUGUUUUCACCUGAAGGAUCUUUAAUCUUGCAAAGAGAAUAUACAGAAAGCAAUGUCCAAAAGCUACCUUUUAAAACAACACUGAAAAUUAAGUAUCGUGUUACAGGAGGGCCAUUUUUAACUGAAAACGUCCAUGCCUGGAAGGCUAUGCUGGAUUCUGGACUCGAAUUUGCAUUCUUCUAAAUCUCUCAUUGCAAUGAGCUGCGCCUGGAGGAUUCAGUUGUAGGGCUUUAAAUUUAAACGUAUACCCCUCUAGCAACUGUAAGGAUCGCGCUGCCAAAGGACCCACUCACAAACAGAAGGCCACCAGCUUCUCAGUCAUUCUCUGGCUUGAGAGUAUUUUUAACUGAGGUGGAGUCGGUCAUGUGUUGGUGAGUUUAAUCAAAUUGACAAGGGCUCUGAGCGAGAGAAGCUUGCUGUCUAAUUCGAAGACAACAUUAGGUACAUAGAGAAGCAUUCUCUUUGGACUUAUUUGAAUCAGAGCUUUUCAAAUGGAGUCUUCUGCAUAUAUUUUUCUCGAUCUGCUGCAACUGGAAAAUUUUAAAAUCAAACCCCUAUUUCUUGUAUUCAUUUUUAUGGUAAAUGUGCUGGUAAAUGUAUCUGGGCCGAGA